rnacentral:rRNA from 1 species
AGUGAACGCUGGCGGCAGGCCUAACACAUGCAAGUCGAACGGCAGCACAGUAAGAGUUUGCUCUUACGGGUGGCGAGUGGCGGAUGGGUGAGGCAUACAUCGGAAUCUACUUUUUCGUGGGGGAUAACGUAGGGAAACUUACGCUAAUACCGCAUACGAUUUACGGGUGAAAGCAGGGGAUCUUCGGACCUUGCGCGAUCGAAUGAGCCGAUGUCGGAUUAGUUAGUUGGCGGGGUAAAGGCCCACCAAGGGGACGAUCCGUAGCUGGUCUGACGGGAUGAUGGGCCACACUGGAACUGGAACACGGCCAAGACUCCUACGGGAGGCAGCGGUGGGGAAUAUUGGACAAUGGGGGCAAGCCUGAUCCAGCCAUACCGGGUGGGUGAGGAAGGCCUUCGGGUUGUAAAGCCCUUUUGUUGGGAAAAAAAAGCAGCAGGUUAAUACGCCGCUGUUCUGACGGUACCUAAAGAAUAAGCACCGGCUAACUUCGUG